UCAAACGACCUUUCCAGAGAAGAUAAUUCAAAUUCUGCUAGUGCUUAAGGUUGCCUAUCCACAAAAAUAGUUCAGGUAAAAAUCAAUUUAAUGCAAUCAAACGGUUGACCAAAAAGAAGAUUCCAAAAGAAAAACCAAACAAUUAUUCCUAGGAAUUUUUUCAAGGGAAAAUAUGAUAGAUCGGUUGUUUACACAUGCUAUAUAUAUAGUUCUGCUUUCAUGCAUACCUGCCAUUCACAUUCAUGAAGAGCCGCCCCGCCUCUUCAUCAACCUGUUUAGUUAUCUUUUCCCGCAUUUAGACUACCACUGGUAAGAUUUUCCAUUUAGAGGUCUGCAAAAUAACCAAGACAGACCCCAACAGCCAAAACAGACCCAAACUUUACACAUACUCUAUCUAAGACCGGUUUCUUCUUCCUCUUGUUGCACGUUUCUGCUUUAUUUCUUUAGAAUUUUUUGGUUCCUUCUUUGCUCUAACUCAAACAGCAAUUCCUCUUAUUAGCCCCCAGCAGGAUAAGCUAAUAAAACUUAAAUGGACUGAGUUCCAGAAGAUUUUUGAAGAAGACAUGGAGGGGGCGGAAGAAUCCGUAAGUAUCUGCUUUUUACGCUUUGAGUAAUAUUGACUUAUUCUGAAUCUGACAACUUCUUUCAAACUUUGUUUGUAGUGGACUAUUAGAGAUGAAGAUAAAAUCCUGAUCAGAGCCCUGGUUGAAGUAGUUAAAGAGGUAAAACUCUCUCAACAGAAAUUUUAAAACAAAACAGAAGACAAAAGGCAUACUAACAUUUGAAGUUUGCAGGAGAAGAAACAUAACGACAUAUGCAUGUACACUCCAAACAGCACAAGCAAUGUGUAAGCUUUCUUAACCCUUCCAAGUACUUUUGAAAAACAACGAAUCUAUGGACGACUGUUUCACCUUAAAACUUUUGGAAAAGAAUUGUUUUUUCAAUUGGAUGUUUUCCAGAACUUAAAAAAAAAAAUUUAGUCGCAACACUUUACUUUGCUAACUAACAACAUUGAACUCUCAAGUUAUCAAUGACACCUCUAUUAUGAAGGCAGUGUAACAGUAUCCUGAAAGCACCAUGUCCUGGACUAAUAACUCAACAUUUUUUAUCUUUCAGCUCGGGCAAACAUUUCUUUUUCCACGACCAUUCAGAUAGAAGAAUCUUCAUGUUGGUCUACGAAAUGAAGAAGUAAGAUGGUUCAAUGUACUUCAAUGAUAUUAUUUUUAGUUAGAUCAAAAACCUUGUUCUAUCCCUUAAGGUUUUAUAUCAUAUUCUUAAUGUUCUACUACCUGCAUAACUUAUUCUUCUUUGUACUGAAAUUCUAGAUUCUGUUAUUGCCGAUUAUACUUUAUCAAAUUUCAUACAUAAUUCUUGAGGUAAGGUUAUUGCUCUUUGUUCUUAAUUGGUUUGUAUUCUAAAUUAGAACUAAAUAUAACAUCUUAAGGAAGAAGUGGAUGUUUAAAGAGCACAAGGAUUCUGCAUGGAACAAUGCAAAGUAGUGUAGGUUUAUGGUAUAAAGAAUUACCACAAACAGUAAAGGAGGAACUUUACUAAUUAGCAGAAAAAAGAACAGUAACGGAUUUAUUGACUACAUUGGAAAGUACCAGAAGAUUUGAAGUUUGAGGACAAGACUUGGAUAGUGAAGAAAAAGAAUAAUAUCUCUCUCCAUAUGUGGCUGAAAUAACAUCUCCCCGUGGCAGGUUGACACUAAUUAACAGCAUCUUGGCCAGCAUGCCAACUUUCUUCAUGCCCCUUUUCCCUACUACCUACAAGGGUUUUAAAGCAGCUGGACUAAAUAAGGAGAAUUUCUCUUUGGGAAGGAUGUAGCACUCAACACAAGCUCCAUUUGGUUAAAUAUUCUAAUGUAAUCCAAAAAAAAGGGACAAUAUUCUUUUUUUAAUACAAAGAAAACUAUUCUUUGUUGUUCUGCAGUUUUUUUCUAAGAUUAAAAUAAUAUAUGCUAUAAUUUUAUUGUAUUCUUGUAUAAGCACAGAGUCAUAUAGUUUUCUACAAGGUCCACAAUAUACUACUCUGAGUAUUUCUAUAUAUGUCAAUGAAGAUUCAUCAUAUUUUAUGUCCUAUCGAAACUUCUGGAAGGAGCAAGAGGAAAAUUUCUUGAAGGAGCAAGAGAAAAAUUUCUUGAAGGAGCAAGGCAACUCAUCAGGUACAAGCGGAAAGGAAAGACAAGCAGCAGAUGAGGAAAACCAACCUUAAUGGAGAAAACUGAUUUUGAUUUUUUCAUACCUAUUGACAGAAAUUAGAAAACAGCUUAAACUUUCAGCUUUAUCAUGACUCAUAAGCAUAAUAUAGUCAUUGAGUUGUAUGUUUAGUAUGUUCAAGCUUAUAGCAUUAUAAAUUCAAAGGAAACAAUAUUCUCAUUAUAUCAUAUAUGCACCAAUUUUCAAAGAAGAAAAUCUGAGUUGCUCUACUACAACAAGAUACAAUAAAAUUCUGUUAUUGUUUACGUUAUAGUAAGAAAAGUUAAGUGUAAUAAUCUUCAUGAACACAAACAACAACAAAGAAAGAAAUUCAGAUCUUAUCAAUACUAGAAAAGGUUUUCAAAGAAAGUAAAACCGAUGCUCAGGAAAAUAGCAUAGAACUUAGAAAUCACAACAGAAAUCCAAAAAGAAAAACACAAAAACAGAAAAUAAUCUUACAGCAAAUUGAAGAAAAAAUCAAUUGAAGCACAUGAUAGGCUAAUCAAGCAAAAUCCCAGAAUUCCCAGAAUUGCCAAAGAUAGAAGAAGAUUGCCAAAGUACCGAAAUGUUCGUAAAAGAAGAUUGCCAAAAAAAUGGAUUUUUUUUUACAGAAGAACCAAUCUUCAACAAAGUGUAAGAAAAGAAAUUCAGAUCUUGUCAAUACUAGAGAAGGUUUUCAAAGAAAACAAAGCAGAUACUCAGGAAAAUAGCAUAGAACUAGAAUUACUGAAUAGAUCUUAAAAGUCAAAAUCCAAAUAAAAUAAACAAAAACAGAUAACAAUCAGAACCCAAACUCAACUUGUUUUCACCUUUCUAAAACAGAUCUUACAGUAGGAUUGAAGAAAAUAUUCAAUUGAAGCACGGCUAAUUAAGCCAAAAUCCACAAUAUUAAAGAACCGAUCUUUAUUGCCCGGGAAUGGAUUUUUAGGCGUUAACGAUAGAGGUGGAGACGGGUCACCGGAUUGAGAGUCUCUUGGGCCGGGUUAAUUAGUUUAGAGCAAUUAUCACUUCUAGGUAUUCGGAAAAAAUUAAUGACAAUC
rnacentral:lncRNA from 1 species